GGCGGGGCCGCGCCGCGGUUCCCUCAUGGCUGCGGCGCCUCGCCACAGUGCCGUGCGAUCUGCCUCUUCACGUGAGGGGCUUCAGCCCUCAAUAAACUUCUAACUUGUUUUCGCCCAUCGUAAUCGAGGCAGGACGAGGUGGGGCCGGCGGUGUUGCCGCUGUAGCCCUUUGUUCUCCCGCAGUCCAGGUUUUUUUUUAAAAUGGAACAUGGAAUUGCUGGAGACAGGACUCGCACCUUAGGGCGUGCGAUUUGAGCUUACAGUAGUUACAACCAACACGGAUUCAAAGGGGCUGCCAGAGCUGCCCAAGCCCUGUGUGCUCUGUUGCAAGGAUGGAGACGACGGGCACGGGAGCUGGCUGUGGGAGCUUCCCUGUCUGCACCUUCCCGGCGGGGUCGAUGGUAGCAUUUUCCAUGAUACGGAAACUGAGGGCAAUGCACUCCCCAGCAGCGCAGCUGCAGGUCUUGAAAUUUCACCCAGCUUCGCAGGUCCCUGGAGAUGCGAUCUCUGCAGAGCCGCCCUUUCUAAAUCCAUUAGUACGCUGUGCUGCUCCAUGGAUGUGGGAAAGAGGAGUUUGUAGAAGCACUAAAAGUCCAUUAUUUUGCAUAGAGACAGGCAAGCAGUAUCUGUGCUCUACCUCUCUCAAGUACUUGGGCCCAACAGCACCAUUCUGGCCUGGCUCCACUGUACCUGUCUUGCUGUGUGCAUACAGCUUUUUCCUGAGACUCGCUGCUUGCUGGGGUGGGGUUUCUGGCAGUCUGCAAAUAGACUUAAAGUAGGGACCUGCAGUAAGAACAAGAUGAUGCUGUCAUUGGAUGUGUUGGAAUAAUUUUCAUGUUUGGAUUGGGAUUAAUAUUUGAAAGACAUGUACCACUUGUGCCUUGACUUAUGCACAUACCUGAAUAUUUGCAGCAUCAGGCUGAGCCUGAAAGUUACACGGACAAUAAAGCACAACUGCAUCUCCAGAACAUCAGUUGAAAGAAGGGCCAUUUGAGGCAGCAAGCUUUCACUGAGCAGAACACUGGAGCUCCCCAAUUCUGACAGCUGCAGGAAAUGCAGAAAAUAGAAGCAAGCAGAGAAGCAAGUAUGAAGGUACUGUUUCAACUGCUCCAGCCCCAAAAGACAUGAAGUACAGCAAUCAAGAUACUCACCAGAACAGGACUGAAGUUCAAGGGACAACCAGCAACAGCUGAAGACAAGUCCACAAAAUGCCACUGUCAGAAAAGGUCUGCAGCACCCAAGUAAACAACCCUGAGAACGUGAUGAGAAAAAAAGAAAGCUAUGAAAGCCAUCACACUGAAACCUAUUUUUGGAAUCAGUAUCAUCUCAGACAAGGAAAUUAGCUACUAAAUAUAAUUACUGGCUAAUGAAGGGAGUCAUAAACACCUGAAACCACAGACAACUCUACGAUGCAGCAAAUCAACACACUGAGAAAAAUGGAGACAAGAAAAUAUCGGUGACUGGCUCAGGCAGGGCACAAACCUCACCUGGUUUGAGCAGGUGUGGGUGUGUGAAGGGGCUGGGCUGGCCCAAAUACCGGCUUGGAAUCUUCUUCUGCUGGGCAGGCUGGAUGGAAAAUCUUCGGAGAGCACAUGACUUGCAAACUAGAGGAAAAGAAAUGCACCAUGUCAAGGUAAAAAAAAAAAACCAAAACAAAACUUCCCAGUUAGGAAACUGCAGAACUGUGGUCUAGUUAUCAGAAUCUUAGCAGCAUUCCUUCACUUAUGUGACAUAAAUAUCCCUCCUUAACUUCUCCAUUUGCUGUGCAUCAAGACAGUUUAUGAAACAAUGUGCACACAACUCAACCGACAAUCCAAUAUUCAUGGAACAGAUAGAAAUAAACAGAUAUAUGCUAAACCUGACAAUCCAGCAACAAAACCCAGGAAGCUCCAUUGGUUUGCACAUCCCAACUCAUACAAAUGGUGUUCACAAGGCACUAGCACUCUCCUUGCUUCCCCCAAACACCACGGGGCUCCAAGCACCACACCUGUAUAUUGUCUCUUCUCUACUGUCUUCGAAAAAUUUCUCUUGCCUGGAACAAUUACACACUUUUCAAGGCUUUUCCAGUUCUGUUUUUUACUAAUAAUGCUGCAAAGAAACCAUCAAAUAACACAGGUUUAUACAGGAAUUUCAUGUUCUUUUCCUGUCUGGAGGACGCCUGAGUGUCCCUGUUUGUGUACUGACCUUCCAUGGCAGCAGCACUGGCCAAACUCUGCAGCUAUGAAUCCCACUUCCAAACCCACACACAGCCAAAGCAGCAGACAAACGGGACAGCUCGCAACCAGACCGGCACAGCGGGCACCAAAUAAAGCAACACCUUGAAGGCAGCGAGCAGCUUUCUACUUUAUUACUCAAG